rnacentral:lncRNA from 1 species
AUGCCUUUGCUGCUUAUUCAGGCCUAUCCAUUCUUUCUAGCAGUGGUUCAAAAUUCAAGCACAAAUCAUCCCAAAGCAUUCCUGAGCCCAGGGGUGCAGGAUGAGUGGCCAGGUGAGCCAGGCUGCCCCACUUUCUGCAAGCAGCGUGUGGUGACCGAGCACAACACCGGAGUGCCCAGACCCGGGGCUGCCACCUGCACAGCCUGUCAACAGAUCAACAGGUCAACAGGUCAACAAGCCAACAGCCCCAAGCUGGGGGCUUCACUGUCACCCCUCAGCCCCAGGCCCAAGUGCUGGCUGGCCGGGGUUUCUCUCACUUCUGGAGAUGCAAAAAACGGGAUGUUUGUGGAAGAGCAUCGAAGCACGGGAAGACGGGGUGCCAACGCGCCACUGGGGACUGGGGACGACCGGGCAGACAGUGUUGCCUCAGCCUCCACUCUGGUGACAGACAGCCACUCGGUAUCAAGCACCGUCGCUCACUGCCCCUCGGUUAAGCCGCUUCCCCAGAUAAGACGCUGUGAGAGCGGGGCAGCAAAGCGGCGCGGGCGGGCAGCGCGGCGUCGUCCCACACAGCGUCGCCGCACGGAGGCACCGCCCCGCCACCGCCGAGGCGCACCCCGCCCGCCGAGGAGCGGGGCGGGCCGGGGGCGGGCCGCGGGGCCGCACCGAGCCCCGCACCGGAGCAGGGCGCUGACGCCGCCGGAGCGCAGCCUCCUCCCCCAUCCGCUGCGAGCGGCGCCCGCGCUGCCACAUCGGCACGGCCGCUCCGCCAGGCGCUUCCCGGAGCAGAGCGGGAGCCCCCGCGCGCCGGGAGAUGGAGCUCCGCUGCCGCGCUUGCUGCCGCUGCCGCCCGCCGGGACCCGCGCUCCGCCAGGGCCGCCGCUGCGACUGCCGGGCCGGGCAGCGCGGCGCCGCCGCCUAACGCCGCAGCCGAGGGGGAGGCCCUCCGCCCGCAGAGCCCCCUCCUUCCCGCCCUCCCGCCGCCGCUUCCCCGCCCCCGCCCGGCGCUCGGCGCUCGGCCGGGCUCCGCCGCCCGGAGCGGGCCAUGGCGGGGCGAUGAGGGAGCGGCCGCCCCUGCCCGCAGGCUGCGAGGGGAGGCGGGGAGCGACGGGGCCGGGCGGCUCGGGGGGAUGUGGGGCGCGGGGGCCGCGGCGCUGCAGCUGCUCUCCCGGGCCGUGA